rnacentral:tRNA from 1 species
GCCGAAGUAGUAUAGUCCGGUCAAGUAUGCGGCCCUCUCGCGGCUGAAACCCGGGUUCGAAUCCCGGCUUCGGCA